rnacentral:rRNA from 1 species
UACAGAGGGUGCGAGCGUUAAUCGGAAUUACUGGGCGUAAAGCGUGCGUAGACGGUUAUUUAAGUCGGGUGUGAAAGCCCCGGGCUCAACCUGGGAAUUGCAUUCGAGACUGAAUAGCUAGGGUACGGUAGAGGGAAGCGGAAUUUCCGGUGUAGAGGUGAAAUUCGUAGAUAUUCGCAAGAACACCAGUGGCGAAGGCGGCUCACUGGCCCGGUACUGACGCUGAGGUGCGAAAGCGUGGGGAGCAAACAGG